GAGAGAGAGGUAGAGAGAGGUAGAGAGAGACAGACAGAGAGAGAGGUAGAGAGAGGUAGAGAGAGACAGAGAGAGGUAGAGAGAGACAGAGAGAGAGAGACAGACAGAGAGAGAGGUAGAGAGAGGUAGAGAGAGACAGAGAGAGAGAGAGGUAGAGAGAGGUAGAGAGAGACAGAGAGAGAGAGAGGGGGGGAGGUUCAAAGCCCAGUACAGGGAAAGUGGAAAGGGACACUGUAAAUCCAUUUGAUUAUUCUGCCCGUCCUCAGUCCAAGGAUUUUGAUGUAUUUUUCCACCCAAAACAAACCCCUCAAAGGAGUCAUUCCAACGUGUUCCACUCCAAAGAUGUCACAAACAGAAAAUGGCCGACCUAGAAUGAAGUAACUCACUCCUUGUUCUGCUCAGUAUGUCUUGUCAUUCACAAAACCUUCAGCCAGUGGUAGUGCAUUUGUCAAAGGAGGCCUGGAAACACGCCCAUCAGAGAGGACAGGAACAUGAGAGAAGACCCAUAGAGAAAGGAGGUCUGGAAACACGCCCAUCAGAGAGGACAGGAACAUGAGAGAAGACCCAUAGAGAAAGUGCAGAAGCCUUUUUCAGAGCAGAGCAGACAUCCGUACCCUUCUGAGUGAUAAUGUCAGUUCAACGAGACCAGGUCAGAAAGAGGAGGCAGGCAGGUCACGGAACGUGUGAUGGAUGUUGUUAAAGUUGUUGGUAAAUGUGGGCUCAGCUACAGAGGACACGAGACACACGAAUCUGCAUAUAACUCGGGAAAACAUGGCCGACAAUCAUAUUGUUACCAGUGGUAAUUACUUCCUGACUUGACAAAGAUGAUAUCAUUGACAAGAUGUCAGAGAGCAGUGAGUUACUGCGCCGCCGACUGGUUUCCUAGUGGUAAUUACUUCCUGGUUACUCUGCUAUGCUAUGACUCUUCCUCAACAGGCUGACGGUGGUAUAAAAUGCAGUUUAUAUCAUGUGAUACAUGUGAUAGAGGAGUAAUGUAAGAUAUGUAAACAUUAUUAAAGUGGCCUGAAUUACUGUUUCAGUUUCACGCCCCUGCUACAAGCAGUUUAGUCAGCUCAACUUGCUCAAUUUCCACAUGACUCAUCACUCAUCACUCAUGACUCAUGACUCAUUACGAGAGGUAGUUGAGGUUUAAGGGUUUAGUGAAUGAUUUGUCCAAAAUAAAAAUGCUUUUAAGUUUUUGUAAAUAUUUAGGACCAACUUAUUCCUUGCCACCCAUUCUGAAACUAACUGCAGCUCCAUGUUGUUUGUUG
ensembl:lncRNA